GGGUUUGACAUAUAGGUUGUAGGGAACUGAAAAGGGCCGACCUUCGGGAGCCUAUACAGGUGUUGCAUGGCUGUCGUCAGCUCGUGUCGUGAGAUGUUCGGUUAAGUCCGCUAACGAGCGCAACCCUCGUCGUAUGUUACUAUGUGUCAUACGAGACUGCCGGUAAAAGCCGGAGGAAGGUGAGGAUGAUGUCAAGUCAGCAUGACCUUUAUAUCCAGGGCUACACACACGCUACAAUGGUCUGUACAAUGGGUAGCCAAGCCGCGAGGCGGAGCCAAUCCUGAAAGCAGGCCUCAGUUCAGAUUGCAGUCUGCAACUCGACUGCAUGAAGCCGGAGUUGCUAGUAACCGCAGGUCAGCAAUACUGCGGUGAAUACGUUCCCGGGUCUU
rnacentral:rRNA from 1 species